GAUGAUUUGGCAGAUUAGUGCACUAAAUUUAGAAUUUGGUUAAGUAUAUUUUUACUAUACAUUCAUUA
rnacentral:tRNA from 1 species